AUUGAACGCUGGCGGCAUGCUUUACACAUGCCAGUCGAACGGCAGCGCGGGCUUCGGCCUGGCGGCGAGUGGCGAAUGGGUGAGUAAUACAUCGGAACGUGCCCAGUAGUGGGGGAUAGCUCGGCGAAAGCCGGAUUAAUACCGCAUACGACCUGAGGGUGAAAGCGGGGGAUCUUCGGACCUCGCGCUAUUGGAGCGGCCGAUGGCAGAUUAGCUAGUUGGUGGGGUAAAGGCCUACCAAGGCGACGAUCUGUAGCUGGUCUGAGAGGACGACCAGCCACACUGGGACUGAGACACGGCCCAGACUCCUACGGGAGGCAGCAGUGGGGAAUUUUGGACAAUGGGCGAAAGCCUGAUCCAGCAAUGCCGCGUGUGUGAUGAAGGCCUUCGGGUUGUAAAGCACUUUUGGCGGGAACGAAAAGGACUGUGCCAAUACCACGGUUCGAUGACGGUACCCGCAGAAUAAGCACCGGCUAACUACGUG
rnacentral:rRNA from 1 species